UACGUAGGGGGCGAGGCGUUGUCCGGAUUUAUUGGGCGUAAAGAGCGUGUAGGCGGCCAGGUAGGUCCGUUGUGAAAAACUCGAGGCUCAACCUCGAGACGUCGAUGGAAACCAUCUGGCUAGAGUCCGGAAGAGGAGAGUGGAAUUCCUGGUGUGAGACGGUGAAAUGCGCAGAUAUCAGGAGGAACACCGGUGGCGAAGGCGGGAUCCUGGGCCAGUACUGAC
rnacentral:rRNA from 1 species